rnacentral:rRNA from 1 species
GAUGAACGCUGGCGGCGUGUCUAAGGCAUGCAAGUCGAACGGACUGUUAUUCGUAGCAAUACUUAGAACAGUUAGUGGCAAACGGGUGCGUAACACAUUGGUAACCUGCCUCAAAGUCGGGCAUAAUCCCGCGAAAGUGGGACUAAUUCCACGAUAGUCAUCGAAGGUGAGAUUCCUUCGAUGUAAAGUCGCAAGACGCUUUGAGAGGGGCCUAUGGCCUAUCAGCUUGUUGGUGAGGUAACGGCUCACCAAGGCUAUGACGGGUAGGGGGUGUGAGAGCACGACCCCCCUCACUGGGACUGAGACACUGCCCAGACACCUACGGGUGGCUGCAGUCGAGAAUAUUCCCCAAUGGCCGAAAGGCUGAGGGAGCGACGCCGCGUGCAGGAAUAAGGCCUU